rnacentral:misc_RNA from 1 species
UUUCCGUAGGUGAACCUGCGGAAGGAUCAUUACAGAGUUCAUGCCCUCACGGGUAGAUCUCCCACCCUUGAAUAUUUAUACCUUAGUUGCUUUGGCAGGCCGUGGAAACACCAUGGGCUCCGGCUUAUGCGUGCCUGCCAGAGGAAACAAACUCUGUUUUCAGUGAUGUCUGAGUACUAUAUAAUAGUUAAAACUUUCAACAACGGAUCUCUUGGUUCCG